AUACGUAGGUGGCAAGCGUUGUCCGGAUUUACUGGGUGUAAAGGGCGUGUAGGCGGAAUGGCAAGUCAGAUGUGAAAUACGGGAGCUUAACUCCCGGGCUGCAUUUGAAACUGCUGUUCUUGAGUGAUGGAGAGGUAAGCGGAAUUCCCGGUGUAGCGGUAAAAUGCGUAGAUAUCGGGAGGAACACCAGUGGCGAAGGCGGCUUACUGGACAUUAACUGACGCUGAGGCGCGAAAGUGUGGGGAGCAAACAGGAUUAGAUACCCUGGUAGUCCACACUGUAAACGAUGGAUACUAGGUGUGGGGGGACUGACCCCUUCCGUGCCGGAGUCAACACAAUAAGUAUCCCACCUGGGGAGUACGGUCGCAAGAUUAA
rnacentral:rRNA from 1 species